rnacentral:tRNA from 1 species
ACUAUUUUGGCAGAAGAAGUGUAAUAGAUUUAGAAUCUAUAAAUAUGAUAAUAUCAUAAGUAGUA